rnacentral:lncRNA from 1 species
GAGCUUCAGCACACUUAGGGUUAUCAACUUUGGGUGCCUCCCAUUCACCAUCUUCUUCAUCGUCCCAAUCCUCUGGUUUGGCUGCCUCAGGAUCAUCAACCUCCUCAGGCUCGUCAUCCAACCAACCUUCGGGCUUCUCAGCCUCUUCAUCUUCAAUUUCCAAUGGAGCAUCCUCAUCCCAAUCAUCUGGUUUGGUGGCUGCUGGGUCGGGGAUCUUUGCUCUCUCAUCCCAAUCCUCAGGCUUCUUGUCAUCCGGAUCAGGGAUAGUCUUGGAAGGGAUCAGAGGAGG